rnacentral:lncRNA from 1 species
GUGUACAUUCACACAUCUAUUGAUCGAAUUAUUAAUCUAAUUCGAGAACAUGUUAUGAAGUAUGUAUUAUGCAUCUACCGAUUGACGAAUAAUAUAAUUAAACCUGUAUUUUAAGUAUGUUAGUGCAUUGGUUUAGUGAAAAAAAAAAACCAAACGAACAUGUUCUUGAUUCUCGAAGUGAUGGAUGAUAAAUGUUUCCCUUGAGUCUUUUAUGGAAUCACUUCAUCUUUCACUUUUAAUGGUUAUAGUAUCUUGAUCGAGAUGUUCUCUUUGACAGUCGAAAAGCUCGUUCAAUUUAAUUUCAAUUAUUAGAAUAAAG